rnacentral:rRNA from 1 species
GACGAACGCUGGCGGCGUGCUUAACACAUGCAAGUCGAACGGAAAGGCCCUGCUUUUGUGGGGUGCUCGAGUGGCGAAGGGGUGAGUAACACGUGAGUAACCUGCCCUUGACGUUGGGAUAACUUCAGGAAACUGGGGCUAAUACCGGAUAGGAGCUCCUGCUGCAUGGUGGGGGUUGGAAAGUUUCGGCGGUUGGGGAUGGACUCGGGGCUUAUCAGCUUGUUGGUGGGGUAGUGGCUUACCAAGGCUUUGACGGGUAGCCGGCCUGAGAGGGUGACCGGGCACAUUGGGACUGAGAUACGGACCAGACUCCUACGGGAGGCAGCAGUGGGGAGUAUUGCACAAUGGGCGGAAGCCUGAUGCAGCAACGCCGCGUGCGGGAUGACGGCCUUCGGGUUGUAAACCGCUUUCGCCUGUGACGAAGCGUGAGUGACGGUAAUGGGUAAAGAAGCACCGGCUAACUACGUG